rnacentral:rRNA from 1 species
GAUGAACGCUGGCGGCGUGCCUAAUACAUGCAAGUAGAACGCUGAAGGAGGAGCUUGCUCUUCUGGAUGAGUUGCGAACGGGUGAGUAACGCGUAGGUAACCUGCCUGGUAGCGGGGGAUAACUAUUGGAAACGAUAGCUAAUACCGCAUGACAACAGUUAUUGCAUGAUAACUGUUUAAAAGGGGCAACUGCUCCACUACCAGAUGGACCUGCGUUGUAUUAGCUAGUUGGUGAGGUAACGGCUCACCAAGGCGACGAUACAUAGCCGACCUGAGAGGGUGAUCGGCCACACUGGGACUGAGACACGGCCCAGACUCCUACGGGAGGCAGCAGUAGGGAAUCUUCGGCAAUGGACGGAAGUCUGACCGAGCAACGCCGCGUGAGGGAAGAAGGGUUUCGGAUCGUAAAGCUCUGUUGUAAGAGAAGAACGAGUGUGAGAGUGGAAAGUUCACACUGUGACGGUAUCUUACCAGAAAGGGACGGCUAACUACGUG